UACAGAGGGUGCAAGCGUUGUUCGGAAUCAUUGGGCGUAAAGCGCGUGUAGGCGGUCCGGUAAGUCCGCUGUGAAAGUCGGGGGCUCAACCCUCGGAUGCCGGUGGAUACUGUCGGGCUUGAGUACGGAAGAGGCGAGUGGAAUUCCUGGUGUAGCGGUGAAAUGCGCAGAUAUCAGGAGGAACACCAAUUGCGAAGGCAGCUCGCUGGGACGUUACUGACGCUGAGACGCGAAAGCGUGGGGAGCAAACAGG
rnacentral:rRNA from 1 species